rnacentral:rRNA from 1 species
AACGAACGCUGGCGGCAGGCCUAACACAUGCAAGUCGAACGCCGUAGCAAUACGGAGUGGCAGACGGGUGAGUAACGCGUGGGAACAUACCCCUCGGUUCGGAAUAACUCAGGGAAACUUGAGCUAAUACCGGAUACGUCCGAGGUUUUGAUCGACCUUGGAGAAAGAUUUAUCGCCGAAGGAUUGGCCCGCGUCUGAUUAGCUUGUUGGUGAGGUAAUGGCUCACCAAGGCGACGAUCAGUAGCUGGUCUGAGAGGAUGAUCAGCCACAUUGGGACUGAGACACGGCCCAAACUCCUACGGGAGGCAGCAGUGGGGAAUAUUGGACAAUGGGCGAAAGCCUGAUCCAGCCAUGCCGCGUGAGUGAUGAAGGCC